ACUAUUUUGACAGAAAAGUGUAAUAAAUUUAGAAUUUAUGAAUAUAGAAUUAAUCUAUAAAUAGUA
rnacentral:tRNA from 1 species